AACAGGUCCCUUUCUCCUAACUGAAAGUCCUCUCCUUCACUCUAGAGAGGAGGUCUGUUGAAUUCCACGUGAUGGGGAAGCCUUAUGAGUUGUAGAUCUUCGUUGUCCUGUUUCUUGAAUCCAGCUAAUAUAAAGGGCAAGACACCAGCAAAGUUUUCACCAAUACACUCUAUUAUAGGUGGUCUUACACAGGAGAAGUCAGAUUUUGGAGUUUUCAAGAAUCCAAUUUCUCCUUAUUUUGAUCUUAAAUGAUCCCAGUGUGCUAAAAAUACUCCAGAGAUUCUUAGAGUAUAUAGAUCCCUCUUCAAUAUUAAGAAAAUAAAGAGAAAAGUUUUUUGUCAUGAUGGAUUGGAAGGUAUGCAACCCAAUUACUGAAAAUCAAUUCUCCUUAAUCAGAAAACAGAGUUAAUUCCUGACACUGGCCUUGCCAUGAUGUGAUAUUUGUAGAGAAUUAAAAUAUCAUGAUAAC